rnacentral:rRNA from 1 species
GUAUCAAUAAGCGGAGGGAAAGAAACCAACAGGGAUUGCCUCAGUAACGGCGAGUGAAGCGGCAACAGCUCAAAUUUGAAAUCUGGCUCUUUUAGGGCCCGAGUUGUAAUUUGUAGAGGAUGCUUCGGCGUCGGCUCCGGUCUAAGUUCCUUGGAACGGGACGUCAGAGAGGGUGAGAAUCCCGUAUGUGACCGGCCCGCACCCUUUACGUAGCUCCUUCGACGAGUCGAGUUGUUUGGGAAUGCAGCUCUAAAUGGGAGGUAAAUUCCAUCUAAAGCUAAAUAUUGGGGAGAGACCGAUAGCGCACAAGUA